rnacentral:rRNA from 1 species
GAUGAGCGCUGGCGGCGUGCCUAAUACAUGCAAGUCGAGCGAAUGGAUUAAGAGCUUGCUCUUAUGAAGUUAGCGGCGGACGGGUGAGUAACACGUGGGUAACCUGCCCAUAAGACUGGGAUAACUCCGGGAAACCGGGGCUAAUACCGGAUAACAUUUUGAACCGCAUGGUUCGAAAUUGAAAGGCGGCUUCGGCUGUCACUUAUGGAUGGACCCGCGUCGCAUUAGCUAGUUGGUGAGGUAACGGCUCACCAAGGCAACGAUGCGUAGCCGACCUGAGAGGGUGAUCGGCCACACUGGGACUGAGACACGGCCCAGACUCCUACGGGAGGCAGCAGUAGGGAAUCUUCCGCAAUGGACGAAAGUCUGACGGAGCAACGCCGCGUGAGUGAUGAAGGCUUUCGGGUCGUAAAACUCUGUUGUUAGGGAAGAACAAGUGCUAGUUGAACAAGCUGGCACCUUGACGGUACCUAACCAGAAAGCCACGGCUAACUACGUGCCAGCCGCCGCUGUAA